ACCUGCCCUGGAGACAAGGACAACCCCGGGAAAUGGGAUUAAUCCUUGAUAGGUCAUCUCAUCUGGAAGGAGAGAUGGCUUAAAGGGGUACGCGGGCUUCUUCCGCGAAUUCGCUCCAGGAUGGGACUGCGUCCGAUCAGGCUGUUGGCGGGGUAAUGGCCCACCAAACCUGUAACCGGUACGGGCCUUGAGAGAGGUGGCCCGGAGAUGGACACUGAGAGAAGGGUCCAGGUCCUACGGGGCGCAGCAGGCGCGAAACCUUCGCAAUGCGCGAAAGCGUGACGAGGUUAANUCCGAGUGACUCCCGCUGAGGGGGUCUUUUGUCAGCUGUAAAUAGGCAGGCGAAUAAGGGGAGGGCAAGCCUGGUGUCAGCCGCCGCGGUAAUACCAGCUCCUCGAGUGGUCGGGGCGAUUAUUGGGCCUAAAGCAUCCGUAGCCGGUUCCGUAGGACCUCUGUUAAUCCAACCGCUUAACGGGUUGACCUGCANAGGAUACCGCGGGACUAGGAGGCGGGAGANGCGGACGGUACUCCGCGUGUAGGGGGUAAAAUCCUUUGAUCCGCGGAA
rnacentral:rRNA from 1 species